rnacentral:rRNA from 1 species
GUCUACGGCCAUACCACCCUGAACAUGCCCGAUCUCAUCUGAUCCCCGAAGCUAAGCAGGGUCGGGCCUGGUUAGUACUUAGAUGGGGAGGCUAAGGCAAGAGGAUUGGUUAAGCCCAGGAGUUUGAGGCU